GGGUUCUGCAUCCAACCUCAGGCAAAGGUGCAAGUCAUGGGGGUUUCCCAGUGAGUGGAAUGGCCUGAUGGGCGUGUCAUCUCUACUCCUCCAUGGCUGGGAAAUGUGGAUGAGUCAUUUGCUUAGCAGGACUUUACUGAGACUACACUUGCAUAUUGCAAAACUUUGUAUAUUAAACCUAUGAAAAAUGAGUUCAAAUCAAAAUCACACAUCCAAAUGGCCUACAAUCUCCAGGAAGAUCAGAUACAUGGGUCAAAAGGAAGAGGCAUAGCAAUGGAAAUUU
rnacentral:lncRNA from 10 species